GACAGAGGGUGCAAACGUUGUUCGGAAUUACUGGGCGUAAAGCGCGUGUAGGCGGCUAAGUAAGUCGGGCGUGAAAUCCCACGGCUCAACCGUGGAAGUGCACUCGAAACUGCGUAGCUAGAGUCCUGGAGAGGAAGGUGGAAUGCUUGGUGUAGAGGUGAAUUCGUAGAUAUCGAAGCGGAACACCGGUGGCGAAGGCGGCCUUCUGGACAGUGACUGA
rnacentral:rRNA from 1 species